GACUCUGACACACUGUGUCUCACCCUGCCCAGGUGAGCCAGCGUAUAAAACAGUCAGAAAGCAGCGCAUUGUUCAACACGGACAGAAACUAACCCUACAGGGAUCGAGUUUCCAGGAAUCCAGUAUGAUAAUCCUCGUACUUCUAGCUGCUUUCACUGCGAUAUCAGAAGCCCAGAAUGACUGCGACCUUGGAGCGUGUUAUCCGCCUAACAGAGACCUCCUCUUGGGCAGAUCUGACCAGCUCCAAGCCUCCUCCACCUGUGGCCUGACUGGCUCAGAGGUCUACUGCACUCCAUACCAGCAGGUAAUGUGACCCAAACACU